UACGUAGGGUGCGAGCGUUGUCCGGAAUUACUGGGCGUAAAGAGCUCGUAGGUGGUUUGUCGCGUUGUUCGUGAAAUCUCACGGCUUAACGGUGAGCGUGCGGGCGAUACGGGCAGACUAGAGUACUGCAGGGGAGACUGGAAUUCCUGGUGUAGCGGUGGAAUGCGCAGAUAUCAGGAGGAACACCGGUGGCGAAGGCGGGUCUCUGGGCAGUAACUGACGCUGAGGAGCGAAAGCUAGGGUAGCGAACGGG
rnacentral:rRNA from 1 species